rnacentral:rRNA from 1 species
AGCAGCCGCGGUAAUUCCAGCUCCAAUGGCGUAUAUUAAAGUUGUUGCAGUUAAAAAGCUCGUAGUUGAAUUUCGGGGUUAGUAGGUUGGUCAUGCCUCUGGUAUGUACUGGUCUCACUGAUUCCUCCUUCCUGAUGAGCCGUAAUGCCAUUAAUUUGGUGUUGCGGGGAAUUUGGACUGUUACUUUGAAAAAAUUAGAGUGUUUAAAGCAAGCUAACGCUUGAAUACAUUAGCAUGGAAUAAUGAAAUAGGACGUUCGAUCCUAUUUUGUUGGUUUCUAGGAUUGACGUAAUGAUUAAUAGGGAUAGUUGGGGGCAUUAGUAUUCAAUUGUCAGAGGUGAAAUUCUUGGAUUUAUUGAAGACUAACUACUGCGAAAGCAUUUGCCAAGGAUGUUUUCAUUAAUCAAGAACGAAAGUUAGGGGAUCGAAGACGAUCAGAUACCGUCGUAG